AGUGAACGCUGGCGGUAUGCCUAACACAUGCAAGUCGAACGGCAGCACAGUAAGAGCUUGCUCUUACGGGUGGCGAGUGGCGGACGGGUGAGGAAUACAUCGGAAUCUACUUUUUCGUGGGGGAUAACGUAGGGAAACUUACGCUAAUACCGCAUACGACCUACGGGUGAAAGCAGGGGAUCUUCGGACCUUUCGCGAUUGAAUGAGCCGAUGUCGGAUUAGCUAGUUGGCGGGGUAAAGGCCCACCAAGGCGACGAUCCGUAGCUGGUCUGAGAGGAUGAUCAGCCACACUGGAACUGAGACACGGUCCAGACUCCUACGGGAGGCAGCAGUGGGGAAUAUUGGACAAUGGGCGCAAGCCUGAUCCAGCCAUACCGCGUGGGUGAAGAAGGCCUUCGGGUUGUAAAGCCCUUUUGUUGGGAAAGAAAGGCAGCAGGUUAAUACCCCGCUGUUCUGACGGUACCCAAAGAAUAAGCACCGGCUAACUUCGUG
rnacentral:rRNA from 1 species